GGGCCCGCACAAGCGGUGGAGUAUGUGGUUUAAUUCGAUGCAACGCGAAGAACCUUACCAGGGUUUGACAUCCUGCGAAUCUCUUGGAAACAGGAGAGUGCCUUCGGGAACGCAGUGACAGGUGGUGCAUGGCUGUCGUCAGCUCGUGUCGUGAGAUGUUGGGUUAAGUCCCGCAACGAGCGCAACCCACGUCUUUAGUUGCCAGCAUUUAGUUGGGCACUCUAGAGAGACUGCCGGUGAUAAACCGGAGGAAGGUGUGGAUGAUGUCAAGUCAUCACUGCCCCUUACAGUCCUGGGCUACACACGUACUACAAUGGCUAACGGGACAAAGGGCUAGCAAGUUCGCGAGGACAAGCAAAUCCCAAUAAACCGUGGCUCAGUUCAGAUCGUAGGCUGCAACUCGCCUACGUGAAGGCGGAAUCGCUAGUAAUCG
rnacentral:rRNA from 1 species